UAAAAAAAGGUAAGCUACUAAGAGCGAAUGGUGGAUGCCUUGACUGGUAAAGGCGAUGAAGGACGUACUAGACUGCGAUAAGCUACGGGGAGCUGUCAAGAAGCUUUGAUCCGUAGAUUUCCGAAUGGGGCAACCCAAUGUAUAGAGAUAUACAUUACCUAUAUAGGAGCGAACGAGGGGAAUUGAAACAUCUUAGUACCCUCAGGAAAAGAAAUCAAUAGAGAUUGCGUCAGUAGCGGCGAGCGAAAGCGCAAGAGGGCAAACCCAGUGCUUGCACUGGGGGUUGUAGGACUGCAAUGUGCAAGAGCUGAGUUUAGCAGAACAUUCUGGAAAGUAUAGCCAUAGAGGGUGAUAGUCCCGUAUGCGAAAAACAAAGCUUAGCUAGCAGUAUCCUGAGUAGGGCGGGACACGAGGAAUCCUGUCUGAAUCCGGGUCGACCACGAUCCAACCCUAAAUACUAAUACCAGAUCGAUAGUGCACAAGUACCGUGAGGGAAAGGUGAAAAGAACUGAGGUGAUCAGAGUGAAAUAGAACCUGAAACCAUUUGCUUACAAUCAUUCAGAGCACUAUGUAGCAAUACAGUGUGAUGGACUGCCUUUUGCAUAAUGAGCCUGCGAGUUGUGGUGUCUGGCAAGGUUAAGCAAACGCGAAGCCGUAGCGAAAGCGAGUCUGAAUAGGGCGCUUAGUCAGAUGCUGCAGACCCGAAACGAAGUGAUCUAUCCAUGAGCAAGUUGAAGCUAGUGUAAGAACUAGUGGAGGACUGAACCCAUAGGCGUUGAAAAGCCCCGGGAUGACUUGUGGAUAGGGGUGAAAGGCCAAUCAAACUUCGUGAUAGCUGGUUCUCUCCGAAAUAUAUUUAGGUAUAGCGUUGUGUCGUAAUAUAAGGGGGUAGAGCACUGAAUGGGCUAGGGCAUACACCAAUGUACCAAACCCUAUCAAACUCCGAAUACCUUAUAUGUAAUCACAGCAGUCAGGCGGCGAGUGAUAAAAUCCGUCGUCAAGAGGGAAACAACCCAGACUACCAGCUAAGGUCCCUAAAUCUUAC
rnacentral:rRNA from 1 species